AUUGAACGCUGGCGGCAGGCCUAACACAUGCAAGUCGAACGAGUGGCGGACGGGUGAGUAAUGUCUGGGAAACUGCCUGAUGGAGGGGGAUAACUACUGGAAACGGUAGCUAAUACCGCAUACCAUCAGAUGUGCCCAGAUGGGAUUAGCUAGUUGGUGGGGUAAAGGCUCACCAAGGCGACGAUCCCUAGCUGGUCUGAGAGAAUGACCAGCGACAGUGGAACUGAGACACGGUCCAGACUCCUACGGGAGGAAGCAGUGGGGAAUAUUGCACAAUGGGCGCAAGCCUGAGACAGGCAUGCCGCGGGUAUGAAGAAGGCCUUCGGGUUGUAAAGUACUUUCAGCGGGGAGGCGUUACCCGCAGAAGAAGCACCGGCUAACUCCGUGCAAGCAGCCGCGGUAAUUC
rnacentral:rRNA from 1 species